GGGGGGGGGGGGGGGGGGGGGGGGGGGGGGGGGGGGGGGGGGGGGGGGGGGGGGGGGGGGGGGGGGGGGGGGGGGGGGGGGGGGGGGGGGGGGGUUUGUGAGCAGAUCUAACACAGAAAUAGCCCCUUACCUGUGUUUUGUGAGCAGAUCUCACACAGAAAUAGCCCUGAGCGUGUGUUUUACACCCUGGUUUGUGUUUGCCUGCAGGAACCAGUGAAGACCUUUUCCAGGACUCUGAGGGGCGGGAGGGAUCUGAGCCCAUUGAGGAACACCAGUUUUCAGACCUCGAGGAAUCCGAGGACGAUGACGACAAUGAGGACGAGGAAGACGAGGAGGAAGAGGAGAGCCAAGAGGAGCCAGCGCCGCAGCUGCCGGAGGGCAGACGCGGCCCGCCGCCGCUGCGCCCCUCGGGGGGCUCCCCGUCUCCUCAGGAGGAAGGCACUGAGACAUCCGCAGCUCCAGAAGCCGCCGCCAGCACCCCCAGCGCGGGGGAAGGCCGGCAGGCCCCCUCCUCCUCCUCCUCCUCCUCCUCCUCAGGGCUGGAGACCAAGUGGUCAGCAGACAGCAGCGGCAUUGCUGUGUGCCACAGCUUCCUGAGCCUCCACAGAGCAGCUCUGACCUCCGCCGAGCACCCGGCUCCUGCUGAGAGGGAGUCUGCCGCAAGGCCACGCGUGUCCUUGGCCGCGGACCCGUCGACCUCCAAAGACACCUCCCCCAGGAAAAGGUGGUCCCCGAGCCAGGACGGUGGCAGAGGGGGCGGCAGCAGCAGACCGGCGAUGGCGAGGAAGCACCUACUGACCAAAAACGAAACCUCCCCCAAACGCUUCUCCCCCACGGCGGAGCCGUCCUCCCUGCGGUGCCUGUCCCCGGGGAGGGGGCUGUCCCCGCUCCAGCGCCUCUCUCCCCGCAGGGAGCUGUCCCCCCUGCCAUGUGUGUCCCCAAGGCUCGAGCUGUCGCCCAGCAGGCACUUGUCCCCCCGGAGAGAGCUGUCCCCCAGGACAGCCCUCGCCCCAGACGGAGAAGUGUCCCCUGCCAGGCACUCCUCGCCCAGCAGAGAGAUGGCAUCCCUGAGGCACUUCUCCCUGAAGAAAGUCUUGUCUCCAGGCUGCUUGGAGCCGUCCAGGUGUCCACCCCCUGGCAAAGAGGACUUGCCUGGCACUAGCAAAUCAGCAGAGGACAAAGUUCCAAGCUCAUAUCAAGCCCAGCCCGGGAUAUUCUCUUCGAUGCCUCUACCUCACAGGUUCUUUGGCAAAAACUUACAGCUCUACGAGUCCAAGCUGGUGUGUGUAAUCCUGGGCCUGAGAGAUGCAGAAAGGAAAGGGUUAAGCAUUUUAAAGAGGAAGAAGAUGCACUGAAAACAAAAGCAAAACAGAAAAAACAUUUUUUUAUAUUGAUUAAAUGAUUAAAAAAAGAAAAAAAAAAAAAAGAAAAAAACCCCAAACCCUUGCUCCUGUGUACAGAAGUUUAUGAUUCAUAUUUAUUACAUGCUUUAUUUAAUUCUUGCAAAGUGCUCGGAUUUUUUGUUUUGUUUUUCGUUUUUCUCCUCGAAUCCCUAUGGUUGUGCUUUAAACAGUUGAAACUGCUUUACAUUUGAAAACCGUGUUUACCCUGACCUUGUGACUGAAAGUAGCACUUCCUUGAGCAGGGGAGGUUCCUUGUGUGCAGGGAGAGAAAUUGUCCCUCGAAAAAGAGGAAAACGAACCACAAGCACCCCUCCCUCCUGCAGAACCCAGCAAAGCACUUUUCUAUUAAAAAUAAAAAAUAAAAGGGACAAAAAAAAAAAAGAAAAAAAAAAGAAAAGAAAAGAAAAAAAAAGGUUCUUCUUCAAAGAUGUACCUGCGAGAAGGUAGGAAUGUAAGGAAUGUAGAGCCCGUGCCAGGAAGGGUCUCUCGCUGGACGAGCCUCCUGCUUGCUUUGCUUUAAUCCUCCCGCGGCGCCUGGCUAAGCCCUGCCUGUGCUUGAGCCCUGCCUGGGCUGGGGGAGCCUCUGCAAACCCUCCCUUGGUGUCCAAGGGGAGGAACUCAGCCUUGAAACCCCUUCUCCCUCUGGCAUGUUUGAGUUGUGGACAAGUUCCCCCCAUCCCAAGCAACUCAUCCCGUCCCAUCCCACCCCAUUGAUCCCAUCCCACCCCAUUCAUCCCAUCCCAUCCCACCCCAUUGAUUCCAUCCGGGGGGGGGGGCCCAUCCCAUCCCAUCCCAUCCCAUCCCAUCCCAUCCCAUCCCAUCCCAUCCCAUCCCAUCCCAUCCCAUCCCAUCCCAUCCCAUCCCAUCCCAUC
rnacentral:lncRNA from 12 species